rnacentral:misc_RNA from 1 species
AAGUCGUAACAAGGUUUCCGUAGGUGAACCUGCGGAAGGAUCAUUAACACAAAACUUUCAAUUUAUACUGCGGGUAAUAGCAAAGAACCUACCGUGCCACUGGUCACUAGUCAAUGGUUGGUCCCUUCAUCAAGGAUCUUGAUUUGCUGUUUCGGCUCUUCUUUGAUCCUGAGGGGAACAGGCUAGUGUCUGUGUAUCCGCUUGCGAGGUAACUGUGAGCCGGUAAGGAAUACAGCCUGGACCAUGGCUGGCAACAUUUUUUUUCUUCUAAACUUUAACGUACGGUCUAUUUGCGGGUUUGAUUUCAGAUCGAGAGGAUUGAAUUUUCAUUCCUUUCUCUGGUUGAGCUCGUUUGGCUUGGAGCAAUCUAAGACCAUAAAUCAAAAACAACUCUUAACAGCGGAUAUCUUGGUUCUG